UCCCUGGUGGCUCAGAUGGUAAAGCAUCUGCCUGCAAUGCAGGAAACCUCGGUUCGAUUCCUGGGUUGGGAA
rnacentral:tRNA from 1 species